UACGUAGGUGGCAAGCGUUGUCCGGAUUUAUUGGGUUUAAAGGGUGCGUAGGCGGUCUUUUAAGUCAGUGCUGAAAUACUCCAGCUUAACUGGAGGGGUGGCAUUGAUACUGGAAGACUUGAGUGUAGUCGAGGUAGGCGGAAUUGACGGUGUAGCGGCGAAAUGCUUAGAUAUCGUCAAGAACACCGAUAGUGAAGACAGCUUACUAGGCUACAACUGACGCUGAGGCACGAAAGUGUGGGGAUCAAACAGG
rnacentral:rRNA from 1 species